UACGUAGGGCGCAAGCGUUGUCCGGAAUUAUUGGGCGUAAAGAGCUCGUAGGUGGUCUGUCACGUCUGCCGUGAAAACCCGAGGCUUAACCUCGGGCUGGCGGUGGAUACGGGCAAACUAGAGGUAGGUAGGGGAGAACGGAAUUCCCAGUGUAGAGGUGAAAUUCGUAGAUAUUGGGAAGAACACCGGUGGCGAAGGCGGCUCUCUGGACCGAUACUGACGCUGAGGCGCGAAAGCGUGGGGAGCAAACAGG
rnacentral:rRNA from 1 species